rnacentral:rRNA from 1 species
AUUGAACGCUGGCGGCAGGCCUAACACAUGCAAGUCGAGCGGAUGACGGGAGCUUGCUCCUUGAUUCAGCGGCGGACGGGUGAGUAAUGCCUAGGAAUCUGCCUGGUAGUGGGGGACAACGUUUCGAAAGGAACGCUAAUACCGCAUACGUCCUACGGGAGAAAGCAGGGGACCUUCGGGCCUUGCGCUAUCAUAUGAGCCUAGGUCGGAUUAGCUAGUUGGUGGGGUAAUGGCGCACCAAGGCGACGAUCCGUAACUGGUCUGAGAGGAUGAUCAGUCACACUGGAACGGAGACACGGUCCAGACUCCUACGGGAGACAGCAGUGGGGAAUAUUGGACAAUGGGCGAAAGCCUGAUCCAGCCAUGCCGCGUGUGUGAAGAAGGUCUUCGGAUUGUAAAGCACUUUAAGUUGGGAGGAAGGGCAGUAAGUUAAUACCUUGCUGUUUUGACGUUACCGACAGAAUAAGCACCGGCUAACUCUGUGCCAGCCGCCGCAGUAA